UACGUAGGUGGCGAGCGUUGUCCGGAUUUACUGGGCGUAAAGCGUGCGCAGGCGGUUUGUUAAGACAGAUGUGAAAUCCCCGGGCUUAACCUGGGAACUGCAUUUGUGACUGCAUGGCUGGAGUGCGGCAGAGGGGGAUGGAAUUCCGCGUGUAGCAGUGAAAUGCGUAGAUAUGCGGAGGAACACCGAUGGCGAAGGCAAUCCCCUGGGCCUGCACUGACGCUCAUGCACGAAAGCGUGGGGAGCAAACAGG
rnacentral:rRNA from 1 species